CUCUUGUUCUCACUGUGCCUGAUUAAGAAAGUACUUACAGCGAGCAUAGGAAGAAUGUAGGGAAAAUGCAGUCUUUGGGCUAGCUUGCUUUUCGCUAUGCUCAGCUAAAAGGCUUUGCAGAUCACAUUUUAAAGAAAUUUAACAAAAGGAUUCCAAGUGGAAUAAAAAGGAAAAACAUGGGGAUACUAUAUUCACAGCCCAUUUGCCAGGCAGCUUAUAAUAAUGACUUCAAUGAACUUCAGCUCCUAUUGGAAGAAGACAGCAAUAAUCUGAAUAUCCAGGACCAUUUUGGUGGAGACACACCAUUAAUCUGUGCAUGUAAAAAGGGGCACAACAGAAUUGUCAGUUACCUUCUGAAAAUGAAUGCUGAUGUGAACAUAAAAAAUAAG